rnacentral:rRNA from 1 species
GACGAACGCUGGCGGCGUGCCUAAUACAUGCAAGUUGAGCGCUGAAGGUUGGUACUUGUACCAACUGGAUGAGCAGCGAACGGGUGAGUAACGCGUGGGGAAUCUGCCUUUGAGCGGGGGACAUCAUUUGGAAACGAAUGCUAAUACCGCAUAAAAACUUUAAACACAAGUUUUAAGUUUGAAAGAUGCAAUUGCAUCACUCAAAGAUGAUCCCGCGUUGUAUUAGCUAGUUGGUGAGGUAAAGGCUCACCAAGGCGAUGAUACAUAGCCGACCUGAGAGGGUGAUCGGCCACAUUGGGACUGAGACACGGCCCAAACUCCUACGGGAGGCAGCAGUAGGGAAUCUUCGGCAAUGGACGAAAGUCUGACCGAGCAACGCCGCGUGAGUGAAGAAGGGUUUCGGAUCGUAAAACUCUGUUGGUAGAGAAGAACGUUGGUGAGAGUGGAAAGCUCAUCAAGUGACGGUAACUACCCAGAAAGGGACGGCUAACUACGUG